GCCUUGUUAGCUUGGUUGGUAGCGCGUCUGCCUUGUAAGCGCUACGCCGCGGGUUCGAUUCCCGCCCGGGGCG
rnacentral:tRNA from 1 species